UACAGAGUUCGAUCUGCUUGUUAGCGAUUUGACCUGAGAAACGACGUAUAGAAUAGAUUGGGAAACGAAUUUCUGUUGCUGCGGUGACCGACUUUGUACGGAGGCUUGUCUAUGAAAGAAAAAUGUUGAAGAAGAUGAAGUUUAGAGUAUCCUCAAUAACUUUAUUUGACAGGAAACAGUUUGAAACAACCCAGGGUUUCAGAUACUUCUUUUACAUGGUCCUUUUUUGUUUUCCUUUCAUUCUGCUACUUUACAGCUUUGUAAACGAUGGAGAAAC